rnacentral:rRNA from 1 species
CCUACGGGAGGCAGCAGUGAGGAAUAUUGGUCAAUGGCCGGAAGGCUGAACCAGCCAUGCCGCGUGAAGGUCAGUGCCCUUUGGGCGUUAAACUUCUUUUGUGCGGGAGCAAUAAUGGUCACGUGUGGCCAGACGAGAGUACCGUACGAAUAAGCAUCGGCUAACUCCGUGCCAGCAGCCGCGGUAAUACGGGGGAUGCAAGCGUUAUCCGGAUUUAUUGGGUUUAAAGGGUGCGUAGGCUGUGAGGUAAGUCAGCGGUGAAAUGCCCCCGCUCAACGGGGUGAAGUGCCAUUGAUACUGCCAUGCUGGAAUGCGGAUGCGGUGGGAGGAAUGUGUGGUGUAGCGGUGAAAUGCAUAGAUAUCACGCAGAACACCGAUUGCGAAGGCAUCUCACGAGUCCGCGAUUGACGCUGAUGCACGAAAGCGUGGGUAUCAAACAGGAUUAGAUACCCCUGUAGUC